UGAAAUAAGAGUUGGAAGCUGCUUUGAAAGUGAGGCAUCUAGAUUUGGUGGCGGUGAGGGUGGUGGAUCUGGUGGCGACAACAAGUGUAGAGAUGGUGAGGCGGUGCUAUUUGUGGUGUUUGAGAUGACAGGGCUGGCUGUGAAUAGGUGUUGGUUUGAAAUGGUGGUUGUAGUAAUGACGAAGAUGGUGAAGUAGUGACGACUUUGCAGUGAUGGCUUUUUGUGGGGUGUUGGUUUUGUAUCUGUUUUGUUGGUGGUGAGGUAGUGUUAGUUUUGGCAGCGGGAGUUUUGAUGGCGAUGCAGCUGGUGG
rnacentral:lncRNA from 1 species